AUAUAUUAUGAUGAAUGUUGGAAGACAACUAAAUCGAAGGAAGUGACACAUGUAUUGACAACCAAAGAGGUGGAAACGGAGACUUGUCAAGGUAAACAGGAUGGAAAAGACAAAUCCAGUAGAGAACAUUGGCUUCAAACAACAAAAGAAUUAGCUGUUUGCGUUGUGAUUCUGUGUUUCUGGUUGUGGCCGAGCUGUCCGAGCUGCAUGGACGGGUUGAGAUGUCCGAGCUGCAUGGUUGGGUUGGGCUGUCUAAGCUACGUGACCUUGCAGAGUUGACCUAGAGUUAGGCUAAGAAUGUUUCUGUUUGGAUUGUAUGUUUCUUGGCAGGGUUGAGCGAGAGUUAGGCUAACAGGGAUGUUUCUGUUCGGAUUGUUCUGGACCUCGAUUUGUAUGUUCUAAAACUCGGCCAAGAGGUUUCUGACACUAGUCGAGCUAUUUGAGAGCUCUCCAAACCAAUCAGGGGGUAUCUAUCAAGAAGGACAUGGCCGGGGGGUCGUACCACCAAAGAAGGACAGACAAUCGGUCACGAUUGUGGGAUUACCGAACUCGGACAAGAUAUGACAAAUAUCAUCUUGUCGACAGGAUUAAAAGUCAAACGGACGGUUUUAGUAGCAAAGAACUCAGACAAGAUAUGUAGGGCCAUCUUUCUUACGCCUUUAUUUUGUGGUGCGUGGGGGCCCAGUAGUGGGAUAGCUCAUUAAAAAAGAAAACAUAUAAAAAAAGGCUUAAUAACUUAUUUUGUCCCCAUUUUUGCCCAAAUUUAUCAAUUAGGUCCAUCCUUUGAAAAAAGUGUCAAAUACGUUCCCACUUCGUAAAUUUUGCAUCAAUAAAGUCCAUUUCGUUAAAUAUAAACAAACAGGGUUAAGGGAUUGAUGAUGUGGCAGAAACAGUAUUAACGUGUUAUUCUUUAGGUGUAUUUGUGUUGAUGUGUUAGUGAAUUAAAGGUUGACGUGGAAAAUAAUUCACCCUUCACGCACCAUGGUCUUGAUUCUUCCAUCAUUUCAUCUUCUUUAACUUUCUCUGCCAAAAAAAAGUACUCAUUCUUGCUCUCAGCAACCUCAUUCAUCACUCCCAGUAACACUCAGAUUCAUCACCCAGUAUCACCACCUUCACUCAUACCUUAGAAAAUCUCCAUCAUCCUCAUAUAAUCACCUGCGCAUUCAAAACCCAACCAAAAUAGAGAAACACCAAACAAAGAACCACCUCCAAAUCGAAAACUAAAACUCCAUAAUCGCUAAUCGCAAAAGCAAAACAAAAUCAGAAACCCCAAAAUGACCAAGAACACAAGAACAAAACUCUUGACCGAGAAAUUCCCCAAAUCAGAAACCACCUGUUAAACCCCCAAAUUACAAAAUUGAAUCACAAGAAUAGGAAAACCCCAAACGUAACAAUCAUCAAAGUCGUCCUCUUCACGGCUCGACCCGUGUGAAACGCGAGAAACAAGAGCUCCAAUUCAAGCCCUAACUUGUAGAGAAGCACAUAAUCUCAACUCGAGAUCGAAACAAAGACUCAAGAUUUCCCAAAUUUAGAAACCCAAUUUCGACAAAACCCCAUGGUUUCCAUUUUGAAUGGCAAUGAUGCUUCCCCUACAACGAAACCACAGAACCAAAAGAAAUUUUUGGCAAAGAAGAAGAGUUCUUGCAAAGCCCUAAAUCGAAACCUUCAAUCAAAAAGCCUUAUUGCCGCAAAGCCACCUGAGAACGGAGGCAUCGCACCGCAAAUGCAAGCCCGCUCUUCUCCACGAUGUUGCCAUCAAAUAGGGCUUCUCGCAUCGCGAAGACGUCGACGAUCUUGGCUUGGCCGCGGCGAUGGCUUGCGCAGGAAAGCAUCGUUGACGGUGUUGACAACCUCGUCAGUAAGUGUUAGAGCUUACCUCAAGUGCGCAUGAAGGGAGAAACGCCGUAGUAGCGAGCGGUGUCUCUGGCGAUGAUCGGUGACGCCGACAAUAGUUUUGUCCGACCAAAGGGAGGCACGACAGCGUUGAAGGGCAAAGCUUCUGCUAAUGAAGGUGGAGAAGAGACCUUCGUUUCUAAAAAAGAAAAAAAAAAAGAAACCCUAGAGAAAAUAGGACUUAGGCCUAGCCUAGAAAAUACAAAGUACAUCCUUAAAUUAUAUCUCUGCACCAUUUACUAACACAAGCAUAAAUAUACUUACAAAAUAACACGUCUUCUGUCAUAUCAUAAAUCUCUUAACUCCGUUUAUUUGUAUUUAACGGAAGAGACUUCAUUGAUGCAAAAUUUACAAAAUAAAGAUGUAUUUGACACUUUUUUCAAACAUUUAACGUAAUUGACAGAGCAAAAUUGAGAACAAAAUAAACUAU